GGAGUUAGCCGGUGCUUCUUCUGCGAGUAACGUCACAGAUGUAAGGUAUUAACUUACACCCUUUCCUCCUCGCUGAAAGUGCUUUACAACCCGAAGGCCUUCUUCACACACGCGGCAUGGCUGCAUCAGGGUUUCCCCCAUUGUGCAAUAUUCCCCACUGCUGCCUCCCGUAGGAGUCUGGGCCGUGUCUCAGUCCCAGUGUGGCUGAUCAUCCUCUCAGACCAGCUAGGGAUCGUCGCCUAGGUGAGCCUUUACCUCACCUACUAGCUAAUCCCACCUGGGCUUAUCCAUCAGCGCAAGGCCCGAAGGUCCCCUGCUUUCCCCCGUAGGGCGUAUGCGGUAUUAGCAGUCGUUUCCAACUGUUAUCCCCACAAAUGGGCAAAUUCCCCAGGCAUUACUCACCCGUCCGCCGCUCGUCAUCUUCAAAAGCAAGCUUUUGAAAUGUUACCGCUCGACUUGCAUGUGUUAGGCCUGCCGCCAGCGUUCAAUCUGAGCCAUGAUCAAACUCUGA
rnacentral:rRNA from 1 species